GACGAACGCUGGCGGCGUGCUUAACACAUGCAAGUCGAACGGAAAGGCCCUGCUUUUGUGGGGUGCUCGAGUGGCGAACGGGUGAGUAACACGGGAGUAACCUGCCCUUGACUUUGGGAUAACUUCAGGAAACUGGGGCUAAUACCGGAUAGGAGCUCCUGCUGCAUGGUGGGGGUUGGAAAGUUUCGGCGGUUGGGGAUGGACUCGCGGCUUAUCAGCUUGUGGGUGGGGUAGUGGCUUACCAAGGCUUUGACGGGUAGCCGGCCUGAGAGGGUGACCGGCCACAUUGGGACUGAGAUACGGCCCAGACUCCUACGGGAGGCAGCAGUGGGGAAUAUUGCACAAUGGGCGGAAGCCUGAUGCAGCAACGCCGCGUGCGGGAUGACGGCCUUCGGGUUGUAAACCGCUUUCGCCUGUGACGAAGCGUGAGUGACGGUAAUGGGUAAAGAAGCACCGGCUAACUACGUG
rnacentral:rRNA from 1 species